AGACUUACCUGGUAGGAGGGAUACCAUGAUCAUGAAGGUGGUUUUCACAGCACCGGUGAGGCUUAUCCGUUGUACUCCAGGUGUGCUGACCCCUGCGAUUUCCCCAAAUAUGGGAAACUCAACUGCAUCAUUUGUGAUAGAGGAAACUUCAUUCAAACUUUCCUA
ensembl:snRNA U1 U1 spliceosomal RNA